AAAAUGUGAGAAUUUUUGUAAGUGUCUUGGUUUUGGCAUUCAAAUGGAAAGUUAAAGCACAAAGAACAAAAAGAAAAGCUUCUUCUACUACAGAUUCUGACUAGCAGCUACUUUCAUUUUAAAAUUACACCCUUUUGACCCUAACUUCCCCUAUUUCAAACCUUGUGAGUGACCUCCAAUUUUUUAAUCACAUUUUUUCAGAACCCCACAUUGCUUUUUGCA
rnacentral:misc_RNA from 1 species